UAUAAUAUUGUGACUUUUCGUUUUAUUUAAAAUUUUUUUAUUAAUAUUUUAAUUUUUAUUAGAUGAUAAAACAUGAAUAAUACUUUAUACGUAACUAAUUUUUUAAAGUUUCUAUACAACUUUUUUAAAUAAGACGAAUGAUUAAACGUUGAACACGGAAA
rnacentral:pre_miRNA from 1 species